rnacentral:rRNA from 1 species
GGUUAAGCGACUAAGCGUACACGGUGGAUGCCCCGGCAGUCAGAGGCGAUGAAGGACGUGCUAAUCUGCGAUAAGCGUCGGUAAGGUGAUAUGAACCGUUAUAACCGGCGAUUUCCGAAUGGGGAAACCCAGUGUGUUUCGACACACUAUCAUUAACUGAAUCCAUAGGUUAAUGAGGCGAACCGGGGAACUGAAACAUCUAAGUACCCCGAGGAAAAGAAAUCAACCGAGAUUCCCCAGUAGCGGCGAGCGAACGGGGAGCAGCCCAGAGCCUGAAUCAGUGUGUGUGUUAGUGGAAGCGUCUGGAAAGGCGCGCGAUACAGGGUGACAGCCCCGUACACAAAAAUGCACAUGCUGUGAGCUCGAUGAGUAGGGCGGGACACGUGGUAUCCUGUCUGAAUAUGGGGGACCAUCCUCCAAGGCUAAAUACUCCUGACUGACCGAUAGUGAACCAGUACCGUGAGGGAAAGGCGAAAAGAACCCCGGCGAGGGGAGUGAAAAAGAACCUGAAACCGUGUACGUACAAGCAGUGGGAGCACGCUUAGGCGUGUGACUGCGUACCUUUUGUAUAAUGGGUCAGCGACUUAUAUUCUGUAGCAAGGUUAACCGAAUAGGGGAGCCGAAGGGAAACCGAGUCUUAACUGGGCGUUAAGUUGCAGGGUAUAGACCCGAAACCCGGUGAUCUAGCCAUGGGCAGGUUGAAGGUUGGGUAACACUAACUGGAGGACCGAACCGACUAAUGUUGAAAAAUUAGCGGAUGACUUGUGGCUGGGGGUGAAAGGCCAAUCAAACCGGGAGAUAGCUGGUUCUCCCCGAAAGCUAUUUAGGUAGCGCCUCGUGAAUUCAUCUCCGGGGUAGAGCACUGUUUCGGCAAGGGGGUCAUCCCGACUUACCAACCCGAUGCAAACUGCGAAUACCGGAGAAUGUUAUCACGGGAGACACACGGCGGGUGCUAACGUCCGUCGUGAAGAGGGAAACAACCCAGACCGCCAGCUAAGGUCCCAAAGUCAUGGUUAAGUGGGAAACGAUGUGGGAAGGCCCAGACAGCCGGGAUGUUGGCUUAGAAGCAGCCAUCAUUUAAAGAAAGCGUAAUAGCUCACUGGUCGAGUCGGCCUGCGCGGAAGAUGUAACGGGGCUAAACCAUGCACCGAAGCUGCGGCAGCGACGCUUAUGCGUUGUUGGGUAGGGGAGCGUUCUGUAAGCCUGCGAAGGUGUGCUGUGAGGCAUGCUGGAGGUAUCAGAAGUGCGAAUGCUGACAUAAGUAACGAUAAAGCGGGUGAAAAGCCCGCUCGCCGGAAGACCAAGGGUUCCUGUCCAACGUUAAUCGGGGCAGGGUGAGUCGACCCCUAAGGCGAGGCCGAAAGGCGUAGUCGAUGGGAAACAGGUUAAUAUUCCUGUACUUGGUGUUACUGCGAAGGGGGACGGAGAAGGCUAUGUUGGCCGGGCGACGGUUGUCCCGGUUUAAGCGUGUAGGCUGGUUUUCCGGGCAAAUCCGGAAAAUCAAGGCUGAGGCGUGAUGACGAGGCACUACGGUGCUGAAGCAACAAAUGCCCUGCUUCCGGGAAAAGCCUCUAAGCAUCAGGUAACAUCAAAUCGUACCCCAAACCGACACAGGUGGUCAGGUAGAGAAUACCAAGGCGCUUGAGAGAACUCGGGUGAAGGAACUAGGCAAAAUGGUGCCGUAACUUCGGGAGAAGGCACGCUGAUAUGUAGGUGAGGUCCCUCGCGGAUGGAGCUGAAAUCAGUCGAAGAUACCAGCUGGCUGCAACUGUUUAUUAAAAACACAGCACUGUGCAAACACGAAAGUGGACGUAUACGGUGUGACGCCUGCCCGGUGCCGGAAGGUUAAUUGAUGGGGUUAGCGCAAGCGAAGCUCUUGAUCGAAGCCCCGGUAAACGGCGGCCGUAACUAUAACGGUCCUAAGGUAGCGAAAUUCCUUGUCGGGUAAGUUCCGACCUGCACGAAUGGCGUAAUGAUGGCCGGGCUGUCUCCACCCGAGACUCAGUGAAAUUGAACUCGCUGUGAAGAUGCAGUGUACCCGCGGCAAGACGGAAAGACCCCGUGAACCUUUACUAUAGCUUGACACUGAACAUUGAGCCUUGAUGUGUAGGAUAGGUGGGAGGCUUAGAAGUGUGGACGCCAGUCUGCAUGGAGCCGACCUUGAAAUACCACCCUUUAAUGUUUGAUGUUCUAACGUUGACCCGUAAUCCGGGUUGCGGACAGUGUCUGGUGGGUAGUUUGACUGGGGCGGUCUCCUCCUAAAGAGUAACGGAGGAGCACGAAGGUUGGCUAAUCCUGGUCGGACAUCAGGAGGUUAGUGCAAUGGCAUAAGCCAGCUUGACUGCGAGCGUGACGGCGCGAGCAGGUGCGAAAGCAGGUCAUAGUGAUCCGGUGGUUCUGAAUGGAAGGGCCAUCGCUCAACGGAUAAAAGGUACUCCGGGGAUAACAGGCUGAUACCGCCCAAGAGUUCAUAUCGACGGCGGUGUUUGGCACCUCGAUGUCGGCUCAUCACAUCCUCGGGGCUGAAGUAGGUCCCAAGGGUAUGGCUGUUCGCCAUUUAAAGUGGUACGCGAGCUGGGUUUAGAACGUCGUGAGACAGUUCGGUCCCUAUCUGCCGUGGGCGCUGGAGAACUGAGGGGGCUGCUCCUAGUACGAGAGGACCGGAGUGGACGCAUCACUGGUGUUCGGGUUGUCAUGCCAAUGGCACUGCCCGGUAGCUAAAUGCGGAAGAGAUAAGUGCUGAAAGCAUCUAAGCACGAAACUUGCCCCGAGAUGAGUUCUCCCUGACCCUUUAAGGGUCCUGAAGGAACGUUGAAGACGACGACGUUGAUAGGCCGGGUGUGUAAGCGCAGCGAUGCGUUGAGCUAACCGGUACUAAUGAACCGUGAGGCUUAACCUU